ensembl:lncRNA novel transcript
ACUUCCCGUGGUUUUCGGUUGAACCGAAACCUGGCCGUUGGCUGAGCGAGCGCGGGGUGUUUGGGAUGCGGCACGGCGAGGGGGAGCAGGCUUGGCUCGGGCGUAGGGAAUUGGUUUUUUUGUUUUAGCUAUCCAGGUUGUGACUGGUUUACAUAAUUACACGAUUAAGCCAUCAUUGUAGGAAAGGCUUUGCAGGAGAAAAAUGUCUUAACUGGAGGUCUUUGAGACAGAAAAACCCUGCCUCAGCCCUUGGGUCCUGAGAGUCGCGUUUCUUCUCCCCUUCGCUUAAAUAUGUAAACCAGAAUCAUUAUGUUUGGUUCAUGGAACGGAGGAAAAAAAUCCGUGUGCAGGGUCGAGACUGUCGUGGCGGAAGCCGCAGCACCCGGGAGGCAGGUGGGGAGAAAAAACGGGACCUGCUGCCGGGGACCCCUCCCGCUUUCUGGCAGUUUUCUAUUCAGCGUCCUCGGCUGUGAGAAAACAUCCCAGAUGCUGAAACCAAUAGUCUUAGCCCAGAAUCUCAAACGCCGUGGCAAAGAGGGAGUGACGACGGCCUGUGGAAAAACCUGAGGAGUUUUGGGCUUAGCGCCUUCAUGUAGAGGGGACGUGGAGGCGGGGAGGGCGUUCUAGGGUCGGCUGCGUAAUUAUACGAGGCACUGGAAAGUGAUGGGUUAGUGUCCUUGGAGUAGACCCCUGGGUUUUAUUGAACUGAUCUGAAAGGCUGGGCCCUGAGCCACACAGGGGACCUGUCAAACAGCUUCAAGCGGAAGAUGGGGCUCACGGGACUGGACUCUCUCUGCAGCCAGCUGUAAUUAACACAAAAGCAGAAGAGUUUGGGUAGAUUAUAGAAUGCCAGCUUUGAACAUCUUUUGGGGGACAGGGCACUCUGGGAGACCAAGUUCUUAGACACCAUAAAAUCAAAAAUAGACACCUCUUUGUAGAGGAGUCCAGAUGUCUAAAGAGGAAAUAUGUAAUAGGCUGAUGUUUCUUUUGUUUUUUGUUUGUUUGUUUUUUGAAAAGUUAAAAUACUAAGUUUAUAAAGUGAAAAAGUUACAGUAAGCUAAGGUUGACUUAUUGGAAAAAAUGUGCUUAUACUAUGGAAUGAGACCACCACUUCUCCUGUUGUCCCUCCCAGCUUCUUCUCCACCACCUCCCCUUUUCCCUAGUUUAUAAGACAGGAGAAAAGUGAGACAGCAAAAAGUUAGAAAGAAACAGAAGUAAGAUAAAUAGCUAGACGACCUUGGCGCCACCACCCGGCCUUGGUGGUUAAAAUAAUAAUAAUAAUGUUAACCCCUGACCAAAACUACUUGUGUUAUCUGUAAGUUCCAGACAUUGUAUGAGAAAGCGCUGUAAAACUUUUUGUUCUGUUAGCCGAUGCAUGUAGCCCCCAGUCACGUUCCCCACGCUUGCUCCAUCUAUCACAACCGUUUCACAUGGACCCCCCCCUUCAAGUUGUAAGCCCUUAAAAGGGCUAGGAAUUUCUUUUUUGGGGAGCUCGGCUUUUAAGAUGCGAGUCUGCCAACGCUCUCGGCCGAAUAAACUUCUUCCUUCUUUAA